AUGUAAAAAAUAAAAUAGAUAUUGACAUGGAUUGAACAAAAGAUAUAUAUUAUUUUAUGUUGCAUAAACAAAUUGGCAAAAUAGAGAUGGAAGAUAAAAAUAUGGUCAAAGUAAUAAGAGUCUAUGGUGAAUGCCUAGGAGCUUUAAGGCGAAGAAGGUCGUGGUAAGCUGCGAAAAGCUUGGGGGAGAAGCACACAUUUAUUGAUCCCAAGAUUCCGAAGGAGUAAUCCAA
rnacentral:misc_RNA from 1 species